GGGUUGUUAGCUCAGCUGGCUAGAGCGUCUCGUUUACACCGAGGAGGUCGGGGGUUCAAGUCCCUCACAACCCACCA
rnacentral:tRNA from 1 species